rnacentral:rRNA from 1 species
UACUCCUACGGGAGGCAGCAGUGGGGAAUAUUGCACAAUGGGGGAAACCCUGAUGCAGCGACGCCGCGUGAGCGAAGAAGUAUCUCGGUAUGUAAAGCUCUAUCAGCAGGGAAGAAAAUGACGGUACCUGACUAAGAAGCCCCGGCUAACUACGUGCCAGCAGCCGCGGUAAU